rnacentral:rRNA from 1 species
AUUGAACGCUCGCGGCAGGCCUAACACAUGCAACUCGAACGGUAACAGGAAGAAGCUUGCUUCUUUGCUGACGAGUGGCGGACGGGUGAGCAAUGUCUGGGAAACUGCCUGAUGGAUGGGGAUAACUACUGGAAACUGUAGCUAAUACCGCAUAACGUCCCAAGGCCAAAGACGGGGACCUUCGGGCCUCUCGCCAUCGCAUGUGCCCAGAUGGGAUUAGCUAGUAGGUGGGGUAACGGCUCACCUCGGCGACGAUCCCUAUCUGGUCUGAGAGGAUGACCAGCCACACUGGAACUGAGACUCGGUCCAGACUCCUACGGGAGGCAGCAGUGGGGAAUAUUGAACAAUGGGCGCAAGCCUGAUGCAGCCAUGCCGAGUGUAUGAAGAAGGCCUUCGGGUUGUAAAGUACUUUCAGCGCGGCGGACGGGAGUAAAGUUAAUACCUUUACUCAUUGCCGUUACCCGCAGAAGAGGCUCCGGCUAACUUCGUG